rnacentral:lncRNA from 1 species
UUUCAGUUUUGUUUUCAUUUUUUUUAAGAUUGUUUAUUUUUAGUGCGUGUGUGUGUGUGCAUGUAUCUUUCUGUGGGGUAUGCCUAUGGAGACCAGAAAAAGGUAUCCCAGCCCCUGGAGCUAAAGUUACACUUGUUGGGAAUAUUAGGAACUGAGCUAGGGUGCUGUGAAAGAACAAGAGAUGGAAAAGGAAAAAAAAAAGAAAGAAAUGUAAAUAAAGAAAAAAAAAAAAGAGAGAUGGUUGUCAACAGCUGAGCAUGUUUUCAGCCCCUCUGCAGUGUUCUCACACCCCAGCUCUAACUGCCUAAGGAUGAUGGGAUGGCUUAUAUAUAUAUAAUAUAUAUAUGUAUAUUAUAUAUAUAUAUAUAUUCACUCAAGACCUCACUCUCACUUAGACUUUUCUGUGCUGUGUCAAGUUUAUACCCAAGGCUAACCAAGACUAUACCUCAAUAGAUUACAGUUUUUGUAAAGCUCCAUCUUUAUAGGGACAGAAAAUGGCAUUUUUUUUCUGUCUCUAUAACAAAAUUGCUGAGAUAAUUAAUUUACAAAAGGCAAGGGUGGUUCUUUUAGCUUAUCGUUUUGGAGGCUGCACUGGAUGCUCAGUUGACCCUCUUGUGUGUUGCUUCUGUCCUGUGCAGCACAGCAUCCUGAGAGAGUGCAGCAGGGUAGGCUCCGGGACCUCAUGGCUAAACAGUAAAUGAAAAGUGAGGGACCCUCAACCCCUUUUUACCUGUCAAAAGGUUCAGUGCACAUCCCAGUGAGGUCAUACUGGUGCCAAAGCUUUAAAUACAUGAACCUCUGGGAAACACCUGGGAAGUUAUUCCUCACUUUCACAAGAUGGUUGAGGUAAAGGAAGGUCAGUUGACUCAUCUCAUGGCACAUGGCAUCAAAAUUAAUCAGCCAAGCUGGGAAACUCCCUUGAAGGUUUGCUUCUCACCCUGUGUGCAGCGAUUGUCUCCUUCAGUCUUGCCCAGCAACUGUACUUCCAGGGUUCUGUCCUACAGAGAGCUCCCUAGACUGUUAGCAUUCUGUCUAAACUCCACCCCCAUAGUUACCUGGCAACAGCCAGGUAGGCCUGACCCACACUAUAAAGGGGACUGCUUGCUGUGUCUCUUCCCCCAUCUCUUGUUCCUUUCUUGCUCUUUUGGGCUCUUGCUCCCUUCCUCCCCCCCCCCCCCUUCCCCCUUCUCUCUCCACAUGCUCUCUGCCUUUCUCUGACUCUACUACCCUCUUAACUCCCCUCCCAAUGCCCUGAAUAAACUCUUAUUCUAUACUAUACUGGCGUGUGACUGGUUCCUCAGGGGGAAUGGAUGCCUUAGCAUGGGCCUGCUGAGGCCUCCCCUUACCCCACGUCUGACUACACCCCCAGAGAAUAUAUCCCCUCUCUCUUUAUCUUUUUAUAAACACAUCAUUAACACUGUUAAUUAUUGUAUAAAGUGCAGUGAAACAGCUUGAAAAUACAGAUCGAUGCCCCUCCUUAGAAUUGGGAACAAAACACCCAUGGAAGGAGUUACAGAAACAAAGUUUGGAGCUGAGACGAAAGGAUGGACCAUCUAGAGACUGCCAUAUCCAGGGAUCCACCCCAUAAUCAGCUUCCAAACGCUGACACCAUUGCAUACACUAGCAAGAUUUUAUCGAAAGGACCCAGAUGUAGCUGUCUCUUGUGAGACUAUGCCGGGGCCUAGCAAACACAGAAGUGGAUGCUCACAGUCAGCUAUUGGAUGGAUCACAGGGCUCCCAAUGGAGGAGCUAGAGAAAGUACCCAAGGAGCUAAAGGGAUCUGCAACCCUAUAGGUGGAACAACAUUAUGAACUAACCAGUACCCCGGAGCUCUUGACUCUAGCUGCAUAUGUAUCAAAAGAUGGCCUAGUCGGCCAUCACUGGAAAGAUAGGCCCAUUGGACACGCAAACUGUAUAUGCCCCAGUAAAGGGGAACGCCAGGGCCAAAAAAAAAUGGGAAUGAGUGGGUAGGGAAGUGGGGGGGGGGGUAUGGGGGACUUUUGGGAUAGCGUUGGAAAUGAAAUUGAGGAAAAUAUAUAAUAAAAAAUAUUAAUAAAAAAGAAAAGAAAAAAAAUUUGAGAAAGAAUGAUACCAUGGAAGAGUACAUGAAAGUUGGGGGAAAUAAUGUAACUACUUUAUUUUAUAAAUAAAAGCAAAUAUGUUUUUAAAAAAAAAAAAAGUCAUUGGCAGUCAGCACAAUUUUGAAGUGCAGGAAACUCUGUUUAACCUCCCUCCCUCUAAGCCCCACGGCCACUUAUUCCUCUUUGUUCUCCCCUUCCCUUGCAUUCUAAGUUCCGAGUUCUUUUUCCCAAUUCACCAUCAG